rnacentral:rRNA from 1 species
GAUGAACGCUGGCGGCGUGCCUAAUACAUGCAAGUCGAGCGAACGGACGAGAAGCUUGCUUUUCUGAUGUUAGCGGCGGACGGGUGAGUAACACGUGGAUAACCUACCUAUAAGACUGGGAUAACUUCGGGAAACCGGAGCUAAUAUCGGAUAAUAUUUUGAACCGCAUGGUUCAAAAGUGAAAGACGGUCUUGCUGUCACUUAUAGAUGGAUCCGCGCUGCAUUAGCUAGUUGGUAAGGUAACGGCUUACCAAGGCAACGAUGCAUAGCCGACCUGAGAGGGUGAUCGGCCACACUGGAACUGAGACACGGUCCAGACUCCUACGGGAGGCAGCAGUAGGGAAUCUUCCGCAAUGGGCGAAAGCCUGACGGAGCAACGCCGCGUGAGUGAUGAAGGUCUUCGGAUCGUAAAACUCUGUUAUUAGGGAAGAACAGAUGUGUAAGUAACUGUGCACAUCUUGUCGGUACCUAAUCAGAAAGCCACGGCUAACUACGUG